CUAUACAUGACUCUGCGCAUAUCAAUAAGCGGAGGAAAAGAAACUAACAAGGAUUCCCUUAGUAACGGCGAGUAAAGCGGGAAGAGCUCAAAUUUGAAAUCUUCAAGGUUCUACCUUGACGAAUUGUAGUUUAUAGAAGUGUUUUCUGUUAGUAGAGUGGCAAAAGUUCUUUGGAAUAGGACAUCAUAGAGGGUGAGAAUCCCGUAUUUGGUCAUUCUUUCUAGCUUUGUGAUACACUUUCAACGAGUCGGAUUGUUUGGGAAUGCAGUCCAAAAUGGGUGGUAAAUUUCAUCUAAAGCUAAAUAUUGGCGAGAGACCGAUAGCGAACAAGUACCGUGAGGGAAAGAUGAAAAGAACUUUGAAAAGAGAGUUAAACAGUACGUGAAAUUGUCAAAAGGGAAGCGUUUGACACCAGUGUUGUUUUUCCGAAAAUCAAUUACGAAUGUUUUGUUUUUAAGAAGUUAUGACUUCAUCGGCUUGCUUCCUUCUUUACGAAACUUUCUUAAUGCACUUUUCGGUUAACAAGUCAACAUCAAUUUCUUUUGUUGUAAAAGGGUAUGAGGAAGGUGGCUUUCUUUUCGGAGAAAGUGUUUAUAGCCUUGUACCUCUGCAAUCGGAGAGAUUGAGGUCUGCAGCGUAGAUCCUUCGGGGUUAGAUACAUUUGUGCUAAGUUAUAGCUUUUCAUAGACAACUUGUUGACUAUGUUUAGUCUUGUAGCUUACUCGCUGACGCUAUUUUACCUACGCUUAGGAUGUUGACACACGCGCGUGCUCG
rnacentral:rRNA from 1 species